rnacentral:rRNA from 1 species
CGCGUAGGCGGCCACGACAAGUCACUUGUGAAAUCUCCGGGCUUAACUCGGAAAGGUCAAGUGAUACUGUCGGGCUAGAGUGCAGAAGGGGCAACUGGAAUUCUCGGUGUAGCGGUGAAAUGCGUAGAUAUCGAGAGGAACACCUGCGGCGAAGGCGGGUUGCUGGGCUGACACUGACGCUGAGGCGCGAAAGCCAGGGGAGCGAACG